GUGUGGUCGGGGCUGGCUCACGGUGUUCUCUCCAGGGACCCGGCGGCACCGUCGGGAUCUACAGGGCGGCGGGACCGCGAGCCGGUGACAUCCUCCUCCCUCGGAACGGAGCUGAUGCUGCGGACUCUUCCCAACCAGAAGUGCGAGGACCUGCUUGAGCCCAGCUUCAUAUAUACCACUUCCACUUGAUGAUGGCAUGCUGCUGUGUGCCCAGCUUUAUGGCUUGGUGGGUCAGAUGGCACCCAGUUCAUGAUGGACAGCUCAGGUCACAAGGGAACUUGCUGGCCCAUGGCCAAGCAGUCAAGUUCUGAAUCCCACUAAGCCACCAUCUUGGAUGCUAGGAAGCGAUGCAGGCUGGCGUUCACGGCCCUCCACUUGGCUCUCCCUCCACAUCCAGCCUCCUACAGCCAAACCUGAAUCCACCUCUACAGUCAGUCACCAUUAACCCCUGCAUCCCCAUCGCAACUGAAGCUGACGAGGACUAGGCAACUCCAUGCGCCAGAGACUCCAAGAGCUACAUGAGGUGGCUGUGUUACUGAGUGGUUGAGUCUGGAGCCAGACAACCCAGAUCUGAAACUGGCUCCCCCCCCAUUAGCUAGAUAACCAGGACCACGUUACUUUAUCUCUCUGUGCUUUGGUUUCCUCAGGUUACCUCUCUGUGCCUCCGUUGCCAUUCUUCAAAAUGGGACUGUUUUAAAGAUGAAAUUAAUUAGUAUAAAUAAAUUGUGUAGAAU